rnacentral:misc_RNA from 1 species
GAUGAAGAACGUAGCGAAAUGCGAUAAGUAAUGCGAAUUGCAGUAUUCAGUGAGUCAUCGAAUCUUUGAACGCACAUUGCGCCCUGUGGUAUUCCGCAGGGCAUGCCUGUUCGAGCGUCAUUUCAACCCUCAAGCCUCGCUUGGUGUUGGGCCCUGCCCGCCGCGGCCGGCCCUAAAGAUAGUGGCGGCGCCGCCUGGCCCUCAGCGUAGUACAGCUCUCGCUCCAGGGUCCGGCGGCAGCCUGCCAGAACCCCCCAACUCUGUGGUUGACCUCGGAUCAGGUAGGGAUACCCGCUGAACUUAAGCAUAUCAAUAAGCGGAGGA